rnacentral:rRNA from 4 species
UGGGCGUUAAGUUGCAGGGUAUAGACCCGAAACCCGGUGAUCUAGCCAUGGGCAGGUUGAAGGUUGGGUAACACUAACUGGAGGACCGAACCGACUAAUGUUGAAAAAUUAGCGGAUGACCUGUGGCUGGGGGUGAAAGGCCAAUCAAACCGGGAGAUAGCUGGUUCUCCCCGAAAGCUAUUUAGGUAGCGCCUCGUGAAUUCAUCUCCGGGGGUAGAGCACUGUUUCGGCUAGGGGGCCAUCCCGGCUUACCAACCCGAUGCAAACUGCGAAUACCGGAGAAUGUUAUCACGGGAGACACACGGCGGGUGCUAACGUCCGUCGUGAAGAGGGAAACAACCCAGACCGCCAGCUAAGGUCCCAAAGUCAUGGUUAAGUGGGAAACGAUGUGGGAAGGCCCAGACAGCCAGGAUGUUGGCUUAGAAGCAGCCAUCAUUUAAAGAAAGCGUAAUAGCUCACUGGUCGAGUCGGCCUGCGCGGAAGAUGUAACGGGGCUAAACCAUGCACCGAAGCUGCGGCAGCGACACUGUGUGUUGUUGGGUA